ACCUCGAACUUACGGUGAUCUGCCUGCCUCUGCUACCCAAGUACUGGUAUCAAAGGCGUGCGCCACCACUGCCCGAGUAUUAUCUUCUUGCUUAAUGUUCCAGGGUUUAGGUUCUCCCACAUGAUAGAAUUCUUUGCAUUGUUCUAAUCAGUCCCUAUUUGUCCUUACAUAGGUUGAGGCACAUUUAAAAUUUACAUGGGAUAGCAUCCUCCCAAUUUAAAGAUGUCUAAUGCAUGGUUUCUAUUGGGCUAAUUAAAAAUUAUGAGAAUAGUAUAACUUCGUAUUACAUGAAGGAUGCCAAAUUGCACACACACACACCCCCCCCGUGUAUUUCUGUGAAACUAGGUGUUAUGGACCAGGUAGUCACUGUUUUCCCUGGUGACAGCUGGCAUCUGGAGAAUUAUCAAACUAUUUUCUCUGUUAAGAUUUUUAAAAGUAUAAAAAGGGACAUUACUUGGAAAAUGCAAAUCUAAGAAAAACCACACCCAGGGUUUGGACAGGAAUAGAAUAAGAUGGUGACAUGCUUAGGGUAGCCCUGGGUGAGACCACAUCUACCAAAUUCCACUGGGACCAAAGGGAGUUGGGACUCUGUUUACACCUUUCACUGUUGGAAAACCAGGCUUCAUUUCUAAAGUAUCAGCUGAUGUCUUCAAGAACAGCACCUCCUGCCUCCGCCAUGCUUCGUACAAGAGCCAAGUCACUACCCCAAACCGCAGGUGCACAGGCAUCUUGAACCCAUAGCUGAGAUGAGCCGCUUUCAGUUUCUCUGAACUUACAUGCCCCCUCCCCGCCCCCCCCCACUGCUCCACUCCUGGACCAUGGCUUCUCCCUUUGCUUCUCCAUGAACACACUUUAAAUUAUGAAAGAGCUCAUUAAAUUGCCCUAAGGAUGCCUGCUCUCCAUUGAACAUCUGGAUUGUCAAGAGUGUUGACAGAAUGUGUGGCUGAUAUAGUUCCUCGCGGGCUGAGACACCGAGAGGGUCGGGUAGGUUUGCCGGCUCCUCCUCAAAACCCACUAGCCCCCAGCUGCUGCCAGAACUGUUAAAUAGUCUGCGUGUGCUGGACGCUGCUCUUUGGAAGUUUUCAAACUUCAUGUCCAUGUGGCAAACAUAUAAGAUUUUAUGGCUAAGCAAUACAUAAGUGGAAACACACCCCUAAGUAGGAUCUAUUCCUUUGCUUCAUGCUUGCUCCUUGGUGUGAUUCUGUUAUAUUUUUAGUUGUGAGCCUAGCCUUUAACGGCUGAGCUAUCCCUCCAGCCCUUUGGUGUGAUUCUGAACAGCAACAUGCCUAUGAUGGUUUGUCAAAAUGAAUAGCACAUAUUCUUCCCAAUGAUCAUAACUCAGAUGGUACAUAUGAUGUGUAGUUAUCACCAAAUGUAUAAAAUAAUCAUAACACCUGGCUUACCCGUAUGCAGCUUAGCAGUGGCAAACCAAACAAAUCAUGGGCAAAGCACAAGCAUUACUAAGAAUCUGCAAAAGCUUACAUAUAAGGGAACAUUUAGAAAUGUACCUAGAGGCACCACCUUACCAGCUGACCCUUGCCCUUUAUAAUCUGCACCCUAGCUGAAGGGAUGCGGUUUUUAGUUUUAGUUUUUACUAUUUUAUAUUAUGUAGGUGUCAUAUCCCCAAAAAUGUUGGAUACAAUUUUAAAUUGGUGACUUUACCCCAGAUUUACUGUGUCCUGUUUCACCCAUUGUUUGGGGGUUACCUGUCACAGCUUCCCAAGCAAAUUGACCCAACUGAGGAUAACGGCUAGGGAAAUAUGACCAAGCCUUCUAAGUUGUCAGACUUAAUGGUGUGUGUGUGUGUAAUGUGAAAAAUAGGGUAUGACUUUCAGGAUGUAUGAGCUCUACAUUGUAAAUUAUUCCACAGAAUCUGGAGUGAACAGAGGAAUGAUAGUAAUGUGUGUUAAUAUUAACAGUUGACAUUUCUAUUAUACAUUUUUAAAAAUAGUUAAAAUAUCAAAAGUGAUUAAAAUCAGGUAUGUAUUUUUUUCCUGUUAUAUCCCCCCCCUUUUUUUACUGUCAAUGAUGAGACAAAAAUAUUUGGGUUUAAUCUGGAAAUCAAAGACAACUGCAGAGAAGCAACAGAAGGUUGUGGUAGCGUGGCUGAGACCCACCCAGCAUGGCGAAGCCCUUGCUCCCUACUCACAGGCGGGAGACGGUAGCUAUGGUAUUCCUCUGUUCCUGCAAGGUGCAUCCAACUAGCCCAAAGGCCUACAUAAGAAUGAUUUAGCCAGAGGCAGCUCACAGUUCACAGCCCACCACGGGGCUUCUGACUGAUGUCUUUGCCAGAGCUAAAUCAGGAGUGCUGCUGUGACAGGUGAAGGCAUUCUGGGAGACUGCUCUAGGAAGAUCUGUAUAAUGAUGGAGGGAAAACAGUUUCUGAAAUCAGGAGGAGGAGGACGAGGACGAGGAGAAAAAACAGACACACAGGAAAACCAAAGUGUACUUGGUAAAAGAGGUCACUCCUUUGGUGAACCCUCCUGCAUUUCCAGAUGCCCCAGUCAACAGCAGAGCCCGUCCCCGUCCUGGGAGCCACUUCAGAGAGGGUCAAACCGGCAACGCUAGCACUCUCGUGUGAGCAUUUGCACAAAUGUCCGCAUCACUAUCCUUGCGUGACACAAAGCGUGCUUGAGUUACCUAGCCUGGGGAAGCUCUAUACUGGAACCUUCUCUUGGUAAUGUUCUCGACAUAUACAGAUUCAAGAGGCCAGUCCCUCCGGUUCACAGCAAGGAACAGGGAACACUGGCCACGGGGAAUGAGUACAUACAGUCACGUGGUACAGCAGUGAUCUAGAUUGGCUGGGGCAAGUUGGUCACACUAAAAAAAAUACAUGUCUUGGGAACAAGCUUUGGAUUGUUCUAGGUUAGUAUAGUUUAUUUUUAUGAUUAACUGCAAAUGCAGUGAAUUCUUAAAAAACCCUUCCCUGCCCUCCCACCCCUACCCCACAGAAGAGUACAAAGUGCUGGGGGAGGAGCCGAGCAGGGGAGGAGCCGAGCAGGGGCUGAUGGGGGCCUGGAUUGGCAUCAGCUGUACUUCUAAAACACUGUAAAACCCUCCCCAGAUUUGGCACUGUGGGGACUAUUGGCAACGGGAACUCAGGCUAGGUAGGGAGUCUGGACAGCCUGGGGGCCGGUCCCAAAGCCUUGGCAGUGCAGUUUACGGAAGCUUCCCGUGGACUCCCUCCAGUCCAGUUCUCUGGAAGCUGGACUCGCCCUUCCAGAGCCGCCAGAGGAGGCGGGUGGCCGGUGUGCCCAGCCACAUGCAACUGCAGACUCCCUAGAGCCGGACACAGGUGAGGAAAGGAGCAUUCCAGGACACGGGGAAGGGGAAGGGUACUCUGGUUUAAUAUGUAACUACUCAUCAAACUGCUACUAUUUUGCCUAGAAUUUCUAUCUUUAAAGAAAGUCUACAAGCCAUGGGGGAGGGGAAGAGGCAAGAAAGGAGUAUGAUAUAUAUGUAUAUGUAUAUACACAUACACAUAUACAUAUAUGUAUAUUCUAUUUGGUUGCAGUUAGAAAUAAGUUACUUCACCAAAGCAAAAUUUACAAGGUGUCCAUAAACUCAAUUAGAAGAUUUUUGUAAAUAGUGCAGGCAGUUAAGAAACCCCACUUGCUCCAGCAAUAACCAAUGGGCUAAUUUGGUGUCUUUCCUUUUUUUCUUCACCAAAACAUCAUGUCAUUAUUUGUUCUUUACAAUAAAAAUGUUUCUCAAAUUAUUGUUUUUUUCUUCUUGUUUAUACACCUUUGCAUGAAGCAAAUACAAAAAAGAGAAGUUGACUAUAUGGACUGUCAAAUCUGGACCCUUAGAAGAAGGGUUGUGGGAACUCUAAGAGCAUCCUGAAUCCACAAGUGCAUCUCCGUCACUGAUGGAACCCACAUCUGUCUCCUCUGUUCCCCUCCCACUUGACCCAUAAUACAGAUCCACGUGUCCACGUCUCUCCACAGGCCUGUGCUUCUGUCUAACGCGACAGAAUGUGGUUUGUACUAAACCAUUCUGAGAAGUAG